UCAGGUGAGCAGAAGCUUCCUCUCCAAAGAGCCCCAGGCAGACCUGCCUUGCCCAGAGUCAGACCAGAGCGAGCCCACGGCCAGAUGUGCACAACAGAGGGGAAAUAAGGGGAGAGGUCAUCGUUGGCCUGGAUAUGUGAGAUCCUCCUCUGCUUUCCUCCAACCGCUCAUCUGCCUUAUGACCCGGCUGUCAGCCUCUGUCUUUGACACCUUUUUGCCUGUGCUCUUAUUUCCUGUAUAUGCUGUGCAUCUUGUAAUGGGUUUUAUGGUGUCAUUAAAUCCAGGGGGGUUUCCUUUUAAAUGUGCAAACUUUGAAACCAAGAAAGUAGAGGCUAUUUUGUACCAUUUGACAGAUAUGUAAUUCAUCAUUAAAAUCAAGAGGUUUUGAUGGAUUCAUUUA